rnacentral:misc_RNA from 1 species
GAUGAAGAACGUAGCGAAAUGCGAUAAGUAAUGUGAAUUGCAGAAUUCAGUGAAUCAUCGAAUCUUUGAACGCACAUUGCGCCCGCCAGUAUUCUGGCGGGCAUGCCUGUUCGAGCGUCAUUUCAACCCUCAAGCACUGCUUGGUGUUGGGGGCCGGCGAGGUCGUCUUUCUCGACGCGCCGCCCCCGAAAUGACUUGGCGGCCCCGUCGCGGCCCUUCCUCUUGCGUAGUAGCACACACCUCGCAUCGGGAGCCCGACGGCGGCCACUGCCGUAAAACACCCAACUUUCUCAGAAGUUGACCUCGGAUCAGGUAGGAAUACCCGCUGAACUUAAGCAUAUCAAUAAGCGGAGGA